CAUAGGUUAAUGAGGCGAACCGGGGGAACUGAAACAUCUAAGUACCCCGAGGAAAAGAAAUCAACCGAGAUUCCCCCAGUAGCGGCGAGCGAACGGGGAGGAGCCCAGAGCCUGAAUCAGCAUGUGUGUUAGUGGAAGCGUCUGGAAAGGCGCGCGAUACAGGGUGACAGCCCCGUACACAAAAGCGCAUGUGCUGUGAGCUCGAUGAGUAGGGCGGGACACGUGGUAUCCUGUCUGAAUAUGGGGGGACCAUCCUCCAAGGCUAAAUACUCCUGACUGACCGAUAGUGAACCAGUACCGUGAGGGAAAGGCGAAAAGAACCCCGGCGAGGGGAGUGAAAAAGAACCUGAAACCGUGUACGUACAAGCAGUGGGAGCACAGGUUUACCUGUGUGACUGCGUACCUUUUGUAUAAUGGGUCAGCGACUUAUAUUCUGUAGCAAGGUUAACCGAAUAGGGGAGCCGGAGGGAAACCGAGUCU
rnacentral:rRNA from 1 species